rnacentral:rRNA from 1 species
GACGGAGGGGGCAAGCGUUGUUCGGAAUUACUGGGCGUAAAGGGCUCGUAGGUGGCCAACUAAGUCAGACGUGAAAUCCCUCAGCUUAACUGGGGAACUGCGUCUGAUACUGGAUGGCUUGAGUUUGGGAGAGGGACGCGGAAUUCCAGGUGUAGCGGUGAAAUGCGUAGAUAUCUGGAGGAACACCGGUGGCGAAGGCGGCGUCCUGGACCAACACUGACACUGAUGAGCGAAAGCCAGGGGAGCAAACGGG